UUUUGGAAGAUUUUUAUACGACCGCAAAAUUUGAAAAAUUUUUCGUCGUAUAUUGCUAUCACGUCGUCGUCGUCGUCGUCGUCGUCCGAAUACUUUUAGUUUUCGCACUCUAACUUUAGUAAAAGUGAAUGGAAAUCUAUGAAAUUUUAACACAAGGUUUAUGACCACAAAAGGAAGGUUGGUAUUGAUUUUGGGAGUUUUGGUCCCAACAUUUUAGGAAUUAGGGCCAAAAAGGGCCCAAAUAAGCAUUUUCUUGGUUUUCGCACUAUAACUUUAGUUUAAGUUAAUAGAAAUCUAUGAAAUUUUGACACAAGGUUUAUGACCACAAAAGAACGGUUGGGAUUGAUUUUGGGAGUUUUGGUUUCAACAGUUUAGGAAUUAGGGGCCAAAAAAGGGCCCAAAUAAGCAUUAUUCUUGGUUUUCGCACAAUAACUUUAGUUUAAGUAAAUAGAAAUAAAUGAAAUUUAAACACAAUGUUAAUGACUACAAAAGGAAGGUUGGUAUUGAUUUAGGGAGUUUAGGUCCAAACAGUUUAGGAAUUAGGGGCCAAAAAGGGACCCAAAUAAGCAUUUUUCUUGGUUUUCGCACCAUAACGUUAGUAUAAGUAAAUAGAAAUCUAUAAAA
rnacentral:lncRNA from 1 species